CUGAGGUAUUUUCAGGAUAGCCUCAGC
rnacentral:piRNA from 1 species